AUUGAGUUGAUUAUGAUAAAGAAUCAUCCUGUAUAAGUUUGUAAGAAAAAAAAAAUAUAUGAAAUAAAUUGUUUUUUAGUUAAUGACAUACACGAAGCUAUAAGAAAUCUCGAUACGACAAGAAAUAAUAUUAUACAUAUUUUGUUCCAAGCUAUGAGAAAUAUCAAUACACCUUCAGGUUUUAUUGAUGGAAUUUAUCAAGUUUUGAUAAAUAAGUUAUUGGAAGCUAUAAGAAAUAACAAUAGGACUUCAGUUUUUACUGUAAAUAUUUUGUCUACAGCUAUAAGAA